AAGAGUCCCCUGGGAAAUGACCUCGAGCUGGCUGGUGGCUGGGGAGGAUCGAGCUGGUGAGAUUGCCUGACCUUGUGUUUUGAGGGGGAGAGGAGGGUGGGUGGAGAGGGCGAGGAAUAUCCUGAGAGGAGAGGAUCUGAGCAUGUGGAACUUGACCCGGAACAAGGCCUUAGUCGUCAGGGUGGGAGGAAGUCCUGAAUACAGUGCAGCAACUGUCCUGGGAACGCGUCCUUGGUCCUGCCAUGCUGGCUGGAUCCCGGGGCUAAAGGGGAAGUGCUGAUGCAGUCAACAGCAGACUGUUCUGGAGCACUAGCACGUUGCCCUGAGAGUCCUCUAGGGUCAAACACUGCUCAGAACAAAGCACAGGGUGGUGGGGGUUUUUUUGUUUUUGUUUUUUUUUUUUUUACGUACCUGCCUCUCAGGACUUACCUGGAAGUUCAGGGGCUUGCCAACUGGCAGACUGUUUCCUGUUGGGUUCAGGGCACAAUGGAACAGUGA
rnacentral:lncRNA from 1 species